rnacentral:rRNA from 1 species
GCAUCGAUGAAGAACGCAGCGAAAUGCGAUACGUAAUGUGAAUUGCAGAAUUCAGUGAAUCAUCGAAUCUUUGAACGCACCUUGCGCUCCAUGGUAUUCCGUGGAGCAUGCCUGUUUGAGUGUCAUGAAUUCUUCAACCCACCUAUUUCUUAGUGAAUCAGGCGGUGUUUGGAUUCUGAGCGCUGCUGGCCUCACGGCCUAGCUCGCUCGUAAUGCAUUAGUAUCCGCAAUCGAACUUCGGAUUGACUCGGCGUAAUAGACUAUUCGCUGAGGAUUCUGGUCUCUGACUGGAGCCGGAUGAGAUUAAAGGAAGCUACUAAUCCUCAUGUCUAUCUUGUGAUUAGACCUCAAAUCAGGUAGGACUACCCGCUGAACUUAAGCAUAUCAAUAAGCGGAGGA